rnacentral:rRNA from 1 species
GAUUAAGCCAUGCAUGUGUAAGUAUAAAUAAUUUUACUUUGAAACUGCGAAUGGCUCAUUAUAUCAGUUAUAGUUUAUUAGAAAUAUUUUACUACUUGGAUAACCGUAGUAAUUCUAGGGCUAAUACAUGAAUAAAACCUCAACUUCGGAAGAGGUGUGUUUAUUAGUAUGAAAACCAUAUAUCUUCGGAUAUAAUAGUGAGUAAUAAUAACCUUUCAUAUCGUAUGUCGUAAGAUAACGAUAGUUCUUUCAAGUUUCUGCCCUAUCAGCUUUCGAUGGUAGUGUAUUGGACUACCAUG